rnacentral:lncRNA from 1 species
CCCAUCCUAGGGCUAAGCAGCGGCUGAUUUGUAAGGGAAGGUGGGCACGUUUCUUUUCCACCUCCAGAUCUGGGCUGGAAAAAACCCUCCAACCAGGCCUCCUCUCCCUGGGUGAAGAGGAGAGUAGGACAGAGUGGGGAGCGAGGCAGGGCCUCAUCAUUCCAUAGCUCAGGAGCCAUGGCCGUUUCCCUGGGCCUCCCAGAGGCUCCCGCCCUCCUCCGGCUUUCACUGCCUGGAGACUGAGGAUGAGGACACCUGCCCCAAAGGCCCCAAGAAGGAAGACUGGGUGAGGGGAAGCAGAGAUGCUUGGAGGACAAAGUGUAGGAGGUAACUGGGAAAGGAGGUGUGUGUUCAGCCUGGGGUUGUGAAAACCACUGCGGGAAGGAUGUUUGUAGGCCUUCAUUCACCUGCCAGCCACAUUGUGAAGCGAGGUCCCUAGCACCUCCCCCAAACUCCAAACGGAACCCACACAACCCCAAAUUUUGUCCUUGAGGAUUCUACUCCACAUCCCAUCUGCAAAGGCUGGUUUGGAAGUAACCUGCCUCCAUCAGGCAACCCCCUCAAGUUGUCAGGGAAGUUCCUUGUGGGCCUCAGCCAACCCCUGUCCUAGCUCAGGACCCUCCUCAGCCUCCACCAUGGGGACUGACAUCCCUGCAGCCCCACCCUACUGGCUUCUCAUUCAAUGCUGCCAUGUAUGUGCUUGUUUCCUCUUACCCAUUCCUUUUCCCCAUUCCAACCCAGAGGGAAUCUACAGGCCUUAUUAUCUCUCUGUGGCCUUCAGGGUAGCUGCUUCUCUGUGGCCUGGAGGAGCCCCCAAGAGGCAUUGCUCUUCUUCCUAAUUAACCUGUGUCCUGUCUGUGGCCUGUAAUGGAAUCAUCAGCCAAGGCCUUGAGCCCAGGGCCCUUCCCUAAGCCUAAUCUUGGAGGAAUUGACAUGGGGGAAUAAAUGUCUUUGCUUCUCCCAGGGCCUCCUGACCCUGUGCCCUCUGGUCUCCAGGGCCACAAUAGUGCCUCUAACUGCCAGGUUGAGUAUCAUGUUAGGUGGUGUCAGGUUCUUUUGCCAAGCUGGUCCUACCCAGCCUGGCUCUGAGACAGGGAGGUAGAAGGUAAGGGCUGAUAGGUUGAAUAGCAUGAAGCCCAGAAGGAGGGAAGAUAGCUCAAUAGCAGUGACUGGACUCCCCCACUCCUCAUGACAUGCUUGUCCAUACCAAGGAUCAUGACUAAAGGGACCACAUUUGACACUAUGGCUCCUGGGUCUUUGUGGGCCUCCAGGGCAAAAGAGGAAAUGAACAGUGGAUGGGGACGGGCAUCUCCCUUGCUGGCUGAAUCCCCCAUGCUUAUGUAUCUCCUGAGUCUUGACAGCUUUGACCCUAGCCCCUGACCAGACUCCACCCUUUCCCCCUUACCUACCCAGGGGCCAAUGCAGAGCUGGGAGGGAGAGGGGCCCAGUAACUAUACCUGCCUCCCUAGGCUCAUCUUUGGCACCUUGUACCCAGCCUAUUCUUCCUACAAGGCCGUGAAGACCAAAAACGUGAAGGAAUAUGUGAGUGGAUGACCUAAACCCCCUAUCCGACCCACACUGUAGAGAUAGGAAAGGGCAAUGGGUCAUAUUACAAAUGGAGGUGACUUUGUGUCAGCACUGUUGGCCAUUAACAAGGCCCUGGAUAAAGGAGGUUCCUGGGUGUUCCUUUUGCCCAGCCUUGGCGUGGCCCACAAAUUUGGGUUCCUGGGUGUUCCUUCCCACAGCCCUGGUGUGAGGAGUCUGUAGAUGGGGGCGUCCUAGGUGUCCCUGACCCCUUAGCCCUCGGCCCCAGCAAAUGCUGCCCUCUGUCCCCUCAGGUGAAAUGGAUGAUGUACUGGAUCGUCUUUGCCUUCUUCACUACAGCUGAGACGCUGACGGACAUUGUACUCUCCUGGUGAGGUCCAGCAUCCCUCUCUGCAUCUUAGGACCCAAGCCUCUUUCUUUCUCUCAUCAGACAGAAGAUUGGACCCCACAGUGGAGUCCCCCCAACUCCUGACAGUCUCUUGGGGUCUUUAAUAUUUCACUCCUUGUCUGAUUUGAUCAGCAGAAUAAGAGUAAAUAGAUGGGCAUGGUGGCAUACAUCUGUAAUCCCAGUGACGGGGAGGAUGAGGCAGGAGAAUUAAAGUUCAAGGCCAAUCUGGGAAACUAAGUGAAGCGCUGUCUCAAACAAAAAAUAAAAAUACUAGGGAUAUACCUCAGUGGUGGAGUGCCCCUGGGUUCAAUCCCCACUAUAACCCCCACAUUUCUUUCUGGGGGCAGCCAAAGCCGUAGUGGAAUUUAGGAACCUUACUUUUGUUAUACUUACUGUGACCUUAGGCAAAUCACUGUCUAAGCCUUGGUUCCUUAUUUGUGAAAUAGACAUGGGAUCCAAUCCUAUAGACAUGGGAUGCUUGUAUUUCCAACCAUUUCCCAGGUAAUUCUAGACUGUGUGCAGUUGAGAACAGGGAAUAUGUCUGAAUCAUCUGCAUAGUCACAGCAGGAGCUCAAAAAUAUCUGCUGAAUGAGCAAAUGCCUCUUGGAAAGGAGAACUAAUAAAACAGUACUCUGCAAAUCAAGAGAGUUUUGCCUAGGGGUGGGAGACAGAAAGACCACAGCAUUUAUAGAUAAGCCCCUUGUUUUUUAAGAACAAUAAUAUUAAUAGAAAUUAGUAAUUAGACAAGAUAUGUCUUCAAGAUUGAGGAUAGUGGUAAGUCUAGAUCCUUUUGACACAGGGAAGGAGAGGGCUUUAAUGAGGGCUUUGUGAGGACACUGGAGUCUUCUUGAAAAAGUUUGGCAGUGGGGGAAAUGGAAAACAGUCCUUAAGAGUGAGGGGUGCUGGGUAUGUCUGCCUAUAGUCUAAGCUACUUGGGAGGCUGCAGCAAGAGGAUCAUUUGAGCCUUGGAGUGUUUUUUGUUUUGUUUUGUUUGUUUUGUUUUUGUUUUGUACCAGGGAUUGAACCCAGGAACAGUUAUCCACUUAGCCCCAGCACCGCCCCCCCUUUUUUUUUAAUGAGACAAGGUCUUGCUAAGUUGCUUAGGGUCUUACUAAGUUGCUGAGGCUGGUCUUAAAUUUGACUUGCAAUCCUCCUGCCUUAAGCUCCCAAGCCACUGGGAUUACAGGCAUACACCACUGCUCCUAACCUAAGGGAAAAAAAAAUUUUAAUUGAGAAAAUUGAGGAUGGUCAUGGUGGUGCACACCUGUACUCCCAAUGACUCAGAAGGCUGAAGCAGGAGUAUCGCAAAUUCAAGACCAGCCUAGUCAACUUUGUGAGACCCUGUCUCAAAAAUAAAAAGGGGUAAGGAUGUAGCUCAGUGGUAGACCACCUCUGAAUUCAAUCCCCAGUACUAAAAGAAAGAAAAAAUAUAUAUAGGUGUGAGUAUGUGUGUAUGUGUAUCACAGCAGCAAAUACUGGGAUUCAGAACCCAUCCCAGCCCUCUUCAUAGAAGGGGCAGGAAGAGAAGGGGGUGAGGAACAGACAUUAACCUGAAAGGUUAGGGAGUCUGCCUUGAUCUUGACUCCAGGGCAGAAAAAUAGGGGUCUUCUAUAGGAAUGAGAGGGCAGGACUUGAAGAGAGAAGAGAGCAAGGAGAGCCAUUGCUGGGUAAAUUUCUUCUGAAAUCACAUCUUACCAUUUUUUGUGAACUCUCAGCUGAGUCUCCUAAUCCCCUUGGGAGCCUCAUGAGAACCCCAGUGCACUAAGGGGUGGGAGAUUUCCAGGGUUAAGCAGAGAUCACUGCUGCUGAGCCUAGCGUACCCCCUGACACCCUGCCCCAUGCUUUAUACUUGCCUCUGUCCCCCCAGGUUCCCCUUCUACUUUGAGCUCAAGAUUGCCUUUGUGAUAUGGCUUCUGUCCCCUUACACCAAGGGCUCCAGCGUACUCUACCGCAAGUUUGUGCACCCAACACUAUCCAACAAGGAGAAGGUUUGGCCCCAUUCAGCUUGCUUCCCAGCCUCCCCAAGCCAAGGCAGCCCUGCACCUGCAGCCACACAACCCUGUGCCAUACAUUCCUGGCCCUCCCUUUAGGUCUCCAGAACCUAAAGUGACCUGGCAAUGCCCCAGCCUCCUGGAGUGAGCAAAGAGCAGGGCCUCCACAGCAGUACCCGCCCCUGACCUCUUCCUCCUUCCCUUUAAAUCUCUCAGGAGAUCGAUGAGUACAUCACACAGGCCCGGGACAAGAGCUACGAGACCAUGAUGAGAGUGGGCAAGAGAGGCCUGAACCUGGCUGCCAAUGCCGCUGUCACAGCUGCUGCCAAGGUGAGAUGGGGUGGGCCCGGACUUCAAGGACCCCCACCUUGUUUGUCUCCUGCUCCUGGCCAGUCCCUUGGCAUCCACCCUAUCCUCAGGGCCAUGGAGACUUUGGUCUUGUGCAGCUUGGGCUACCAGUCCUAGCUCUGUGUCCAGCCAAGUCACUUCUGCUGUCCAGCCACAGUUUCCUCAGCUGACCACAGGGAAAGUAUGACCCGGCCUCUCAGUGAGCCUGGGUAAGGACAGUGCGGGGAAAGCACUGAGCCCAGGAGCUGCUGCCAGCACCAUGGUGACCUUUGUCUCAAACCCACCCCCACACCCCUGCUGUCUUGGUGUGUGGUGGUGACCCUAGGGCCAGGGGGUGCUGUCAGAGAAGCUCCGGAGCUUCAGCAUGCAGGACCUGACGCUGAUCCGAGACGAGGAUGCACUGCCUCUGCAGGGAACUGAAGGCCGCCUCCGAACUGCCCCUGGUGGCCUUCUAGACACCAUUGAGGACUUAGGUACAGGCAGGGGUCAGGGCCAUGGGGGAGGAACAGGGUGGAGGAAGCCAGGUGGGAGACCCUGGACCUUUGUUCUCCUUUCCUCCCCAUCAACCAGCUGAUGAGGCUGCCCUGAGUAUAAGGUCUAGCACAAACCAGACAGAUCCCCGGACAGAGACCUCAGAGGAUGACAUGGGAGACAAGGCCCCCAAGAGGGUCAAAUCCAUCAAAAAAGUGCCCAAAACUGAGGUGAGAGCAUGGGCCAGAGCUUGAGGAAGUGGAGAAGGGGUGGUGGCACUGGUCUGAGUCCUGUCUUCUUCUACACUCCACAGCCACUGGCUUCCAAGACACUAAAGACCAGGCCUAAGAAGAAGAGCUCUGGCGGGGGUGACUCAGCUUGAGGCCCCAUGCCCCCACACUGCGGAGCAAAGAGGGAGCCCAAGGAAGGGGCCACAGCCCUAGCCCCUGCUCUAUACUGUGCCAUCAGCCUAGGUGUCUCAGGCUCUGGGGCUCCCUCAGAUACUCGUUCCUGAGACCCACCCAGUGGCCACUCCUCUGGAGGGGGCUUGGAAAAGAGAAGAGAGGCCCAGCUGUGCGGGUUGUGGGUAGAGGUGGCCCCAGAGCUGAGCACUGAGCUCCCAAGGAGGGGAGGGCUCCUCAGCCCACACUGCUCUUCUCCCCACUCCAGUCCUGCCCUGCCCAUCCAGUGCCUUGCUGAAGACCAUGGCCAUCCCCUUCUUUGAGGCCCUGACAUGCCCCCCUGUUCUCCCCAGGAUGAGGGUUAGGGACAGUCACAGCCAGAUGUACCAAGGAAGGGGCCUGAAGGCACUGGGAGAAAGGGAGCAAAUAGGACAGGCCUUGAGGGACCUGGAUGGGGCUUCUAGACACAGCUUUUGAGUGAAGGACAUGAAUUUUGUGUGGAUUUAAAUGACUGAGAUGCCCUGAUCAGAGCUGCAUCUGGUAAGGCUGUGUGCUACAUGUCCCCCCUGAAAAAAGAGGGUAGGGUUCGGUGUGUGAGUGUUGAGUGUUAUUUUACUGGGUCUAGAGCUGGGGCCAGUUUGGGUUAAGGACUCUCCCUCUAGUGCUCACCUCCUUCCACUCUCAGCCCUGGUCUUUCCCCCUCUUCACUGUCCCUGCUAGUCUCUGAGCCUCAGAGGAUCCCAGCCCAGGUCAGGAUGGGGCUCUAAGGGACCUCUCUGCUCCCCCUCUAUCCUUGAUCCUUUUUGCCUCACCUACUCCUGUCCUGACUUCCUAGACCUCAGUCACUGCAGAAGCCCCGCUGAGCUGGCUCCUUCCUCUUCCCACUGGGUCCUUCUUUGCCCCAGGGUCCCAUUCUUAAGCCAAGCAGACCCCUGUCAGAGCCCAGCUCCAACCCUACCCCACCUCCCAUUUCUGCGUGGCUUCCAUCAGGGCCAAGAGGAACCUGUGACAAAAGAAAUGCAGGAGCAGAAGGACUCUCAAUUCUUUGUAAAGAUAGUGCCCAUUGGACCUUUGGCACUAGAUGAGCCAAUAAACCAAAUUCUGGCACCUCACUUA